rnacentral:lncRNA from 1 species
GGAAGAGUCCGGGCCGAGGGCCCGCGCCGCCGCCUUCUUCGCCGCAUGUCUUCCACCGCCGCCGCUCAUCCUGCUGAUUCCGCGGAACGUGACAGAGAAACCUUCCAGCAAGCCUCACACCUGCGUUAAAGAAGGAGCAAGUGCAUCGUGAUGCUGAGUCCCCAUCAGACUAGACACGAGGCUGUGAAGACACAUCCACCCACACACUGAAGGGGAUGAGAUCCAGAACAAGGAGCAACCUUCCGCAAAAUGAGAACUUACGGUGACUCUACAUUGCCUUCAAGCCCAGCUGAGGUGCUGAAACUCAAUCUUUUCUCAUCUGCAAACUGCCACUGCCCAGCCAGCUUGAGAUUCUGGCUCCUCCGAUGCAGAGCGGUGUGGCCAUCUGCCCAAGACGCCAGUCAUAAUUUAAGGAAUCAGUGUGGACACUACCUGACAUCUCCUGCCUCCCCCACCCCUCCCAGCUGGAGCCCCUAGAUGCCAUCCACCAGGAGACUCAGGCCUCCUCAUUCCUCCAGUCAAUCCUGACUAAGCAGUGUCUCUCAAAGUUUAAUGUGCAAGCAGAUCAUCUGAGGUUCAGGCCAAAAUGGGUAUUCUGAUUCAUUAGGUUGGGUGAGGCCAGAGAUCCUGUAUUUCUAAGAAGUUCCCAGGCAAUGCCAAUGGUUCAUGAACUUCACUUUGAGUAGUAAGAAUGAGAAUGUGUAUAGACUAGCAACCUCAGCCUCACCUAGGGAUAGGGUCUGGAAUAUGUUGGGGUUUUUUCCCAUUUAUUAAUAAACAUUUAUUAAACACUC